GUGGGGAAUAUUGGACAAUGGGCGCAAGCCUGAUCCAGCCAUGCCGCGUGAGUGAAGAAGGCCUUCGGGUUGUAAAGCUCUUUUGUUGGGAAAGAAAAGCUUCCGGUUAAUAACCGGGGGUUCUGACGGUACCCAAAGAAUAAGCACCGGCUAACUUCGUGCCAGCAGCCGCGGUAAUACGAAGGGUGCAAGCGUUACUCGGAAUUACUGGGCGUAAAGCGUGCGUAGGUGGUGGUUUAAGUCUGAUGUGAAAGCCCUGGGCUCAACCUGGGAAUGGCAUUGGAAACUGGAUCACUGGAGUGCGGUAGAGGAUGGCGGAAUUCCCGGUGUAGCAGUGAAAUGCGUAGAGAUCGGGAGGAACAUCCGUGGCGAAGGCGGCCAUCUGGACCAGCACUGACACUGAGGCACGAAAGCGUGGGGAGCAAACAGG
rnacentral:rRNA from 1 species